rnacentral:rRNA from 1 species
CUAUGGCUCAGGAUGAACGCUGGCGGCGUGCCUAACACAUGCAAGUCGAACGGGGUUAAGGGAAAUUUCGGAUGGAACUUAACUAGUGGCGGACGGGUGAGUAACGCGUGGAUAACCUGCCUCACACUGGGGGAUAGCAGCUGGAAACGGCUGGUAAUACCGCAUAAGACCCCGGUGCCGCAUGGCACCGAGGUAAAAGAUUUAUCGGUGUGAGAUGGAUCCGCGUCUGAUUAGCCAGUUGGCGGGUAACGGCCCACCAAAGCGACGAUCAGUAGCCGGCCUGAGAGGGUGAACGGCCACAUUGGGACUGAGACACGGCCCAAACUCCUACGGGAGGCAGCAGUGGGGAAUAUUGCACAAUGGGCGCAAGCCUGAUGCAGCAACGCCCGCGUGAGUGAAGAAGUAUUUCGGUAUGUAAAGCUCUAUCGGCAGGGAAGAAAGGCCCAUUAAGGGAGAUGACGGUACCUGACUAAGAAGCCCCGGCUAACUACGUGCCAGCCGCGGC